AUUGUAUAAGGACCAGCAUAAGAAUGUUACAGACCCAGACAUUCAGUCAAUUUCCGACAUAAAAGAGGGCCAGAUUAUCAGGGGAUAUGUGACGUCUAUUACUGAACUAGGCAUAUUUGUGAGGAUAUCAAGGACCAUCGCAGGAAGAGUUCAGUUCCAGCAUGCCACAAAAUACUUUGUGAACAACCCAAAACCUUUUUCCGAACACAUUGCCAAGAAUGCAUUGCUGACAGCCAAGGUUCUCAGUGUGAACACCACAAACAACCAUGUGAACCUGUCACUGCUGUCAGAGGACAUUGGGAAACAAGAUCUACUCCCAGAAUCCCUUGAGCUUCCAUUGCGUUUGACUGAAGAGCAGAUACAAGAACGUGACAAGAAAGCCACCAAGAGGAAACGGGUCAUUUCUGAG